rnacentral:rRNA from 1 species
GUCGAGCGGUAGAGAGAAGCUUGCUUCUCUUGAGAGCGGCGGACGGGUGAGUAAUGCCUAGGAAUCUGCCUGGUAGUGGGGGAUAACGUUCGGAAACGAACGCUAAUACCGCAUACGUCCUACGGGAGAAAGCAGGGGACCUUCGGGCCUUGCGCUAUCAGAUGAGCCUAGGUCGGAUUAGCUAGUUGGUGAGGUAAUGGCUCACCAAGGCGACGAUCCGUAACUGGUCUGAGAGGAUGAUCAGUCACACUGGAACUGAGACACGGUCCAGACUCCUACGGGAGGCAGCAGUGGGGAAUAUUGGACAAUGGGCGAAAGCCUGAUCCAGCCAUGCCGCGUGUGUGAAGAAGGUCUUCGGAUUGUAAAGCACUUUAAGUUGGGAGGAAGGGCAGUUACCUAAUACGUGAUUGUUUUGACGUUACCGACAGAAUAAGCACCGGCUAACUCUGUGCCAGCAGCCGCGGUAAUACAGAGGGUGCAAGCGUUAAUCGGAAUUACUGGGCGUAAAGCGCGCGU